UACGGGAGGCAGCAGUGGGGGAUAUUGCGCAAUGGGGGCAACCCUGACGCAGCAACGCCGCGUGAAGGACGAAGGUCUUCGGAUUGUAAACUUCUUUUGUCAGGGACGAAAUAUGACGGUACCUGACGAAUAAGCUCCGGCUAACUACGUGCCAGCAGCCGCGGUAAU
rnacentral:rRNA from 1 species